rnacentral:lncRNA from 1 species
AGCUCAGAUUUGAAGGCAGUAGCUUGCCGAUGCUCCCAGCUGAAUAAAGCCCUGCCUUCUACAACUCAGUGUCUGAGAGGUUUUGUCUGCGGCUCACCCUGCUACAUUUCUUGGUUCCCUGACUGGGAAACGAGGUGACUGACGGAUGGCCGAGGCAGCCCCUUAGGCGGCUUAGGCCUGCCCUGUGGAGCAUCCGUGAGGGGAACUCCGGCCAGCCUGAGUGACGUGAUCCAAAGAGCGCUCCCGGGUAGGCAAUUGCCCCAAUGGAACGCCUUGCCAGAGCAGCGUGUAGCAGGCCCCCACGGAAGAUUAACACAGUGGCUGAACACCAGGAAGGAACUGGCACUUGGAGUCCGGACAUCUACAACUUGGUAAGACUAGUCUUUGGAACUUGCCCCACUCCAUCUGAGUGGAAGCGUGGCCUGAUCACCCACAGUGUGCCUGUAUUGGCAUUUUGUUCUGGUUUUGACUUGGCUUGAGUUGGUAAGACUAGUCUUUGGAACUUGCCCUACUCCAUCUGGGUGGAAACAUGGCCUGAUCACCCACGGCAUGCCUGCAUUGACACUUUUGUUCUGGUUUUGACUUGACUUAGAUUGUGUGAUACUUUGGUUUUAGUUUUGACCUGGCUUGGAUUUCUGGAUACUCUGAUUUUGGUUUGGUGUAAACUGCAAAAGUGUGUGUGUGCCCUUUUUACCUGUUUUUUGUUUUGUGGUGUGUGUGUGGUGUGAACAUGGUGUUUUGUCUUGAAGAAGCAUGGGUCAGGCAAAAAUAAGCCCACCCCACUAGGAACUAUGUUAAAAAAAAUAAAAAUUUCAAGAAAGAAUUUAAGGGAGAUUACGAUGUUACUGUGACACCAGGAAAACUUAGAACUUUGUGUGAAAUAGACUGGCCAGCAUUAGAGUGGGUUGGUCAUCAGAAAGAAGCCUGGACAGGUCCCUUGUUUCAACGGUAUGACACAGGGCAACCUGUAAGCCAAGGCACCCAGACCAGUUUCCAUACAUAGACAGUUACAGCUGGUUUUAGACCCCCUUCCCCUCCACAGUAGUUAAAAGAACAGCAGCAUAAGCAGUUGGGAGAGGCAAGGAAAGACCAGCAGAGAAAAAAAAAAAAGAGGCCAUCUAUACCAAUUCUAAGUUAAUUUAGACUAAACAAGGUCUUAUUAAUAGCAAAGGAUAAUUGAAAUCCCAAACUUACAAGGUUUUCAACAAAAGUGAAGUUUGCUAAAAGUUAACAGCAUAACAUAUAUUGUGGUAACUUCUAAUCUUGUGGCCUUAGAGAGUCUAGUCCAAAGACAUAAAGAAAGUUCGCUUUAAAAAAAGGAAUGGUUAUCUUCAAAAAAAAAAGCGGGGGGGAGGCAGAAUUUAUGUAAAAAGAGUGUUAUAUGGUAAAUUCUUGUCCUGAAAUAAAUUAACUGGUUGUUUAAAGAAAAAAAAUGUUUGUAAUAAGUCAGAAAGUUGAGGCAUGUUGAAGAAUUGUCGGCGAAAGUUGUGAAAGAAAAAAUGUUAUAAAAAAAUUUAUGCAAAAAAGCCUCCUGAGUACUACUAUUGAAGAAACAGUUUAUGUGCAAGGUGUAUAAAAAUAGUAAAAUAUACCUUUGGUAAAAAGAUUAUAAGGAGGCAUAAGAAUGUGGAUUUUUACCAACAUUAAAAGGUUAAAAAAUUAUUGUUUUGAAAGUUUAAGCAAGUUUUAAAACUUUAAUUGUAAAGAAAAUUCUGUGUAUAAACAUAUUAGCUAAAGUUAAAAAGGUAUCAUCCAGCUUUUCUGUGAACUGGACAUUAAAGUAAAAAUGCAACAGGUUUUUCUUAAAGCAUCAACCUGCUCUUUAACAAAAAUUAUAAAAGGUUAAAAAGAGUCUAUAAAAUCUCACCUUAUGGUCAAACAUGAAAAAUUGGAUAAAUAUAUCUACAAGGUUUUAUUAAAAUUAAGUUUAACAUUAAUAACACACUAAUAUAAAGGUAAAAUUUAGCUUAUCUGGUAUAAAAAUCAUACAAGAAGCAUUAUUAAAUAUAAAAUGGUGUUUAACUUUCUUUGGUCUAAAAACUAAUAAAAAUAGGUACUAAAGGAAACAUUCCUUUUACUAGAGGAUCAUAGAAGUUAAAGACUUAAAACAAACUUUGGAAAUUAAGACAGCAUACCAAGAUGCAAAUGCCUGGUUGAAAUGGAUCAAAUAUUCCAUCUGCACAUUAAACAAAAGCAAUUGUUAUGCUUGUGCACAUGGCAGGCCAGAGGCCCUGAUUGUCCCCCUUCCACUAAGGUGGUCCUCCAGUCGACCAGGCGUGGGCUGCAUGGUAGCUGUUUUCCAGGAUUCUACAGCCUGGAGUAAUAAGUCAUGCCAAGCUCUCUCUGCUAUAUCCUGAAGUCCCUGAGGGUCAGCCCCCGAAGGCCAUCCAGCUUCUGUCUCCCAACGCUAAGUUCACUUCUUGUCUCUCGUGGCAGGGAGGAGACUUAGCAUUCCUUGGAGACCUGAAGGGAUGCAGUGAGCUUAAGAAUUUUCAAGAGCUUAUCAAUCAGUCAGCCCUUGUUCAUCCCCGAGUGGAUGUGUGGUGGUAUUGUGGUGGACCUUUACUGGGCACUCUGCUGAAUAACUAGAGUGGCACUUGUGCUUUAGUCCAUUUGGCUAUCCCUUUUACCCUGGCACUUCAUCAACCAGAGGAAGAAAAAAAUAAAAUAAAAUAAAAAUCAUAAAGUGAGAGAAGCCCCUUAUAGGUCUUUCAACUCUCACAUCUAUUUAGAUGCAAUUGAAGCCCCGCAAGGAAUACCAGAUCAAUUUAAAGCUUGAAAUCAAAUAGUUACAAGAUUUAAAUCAAUAUCUUGGUAGAUGACAGUCAAUAAAAAUGCAGAUUAGAUAAACUACAUCUAUUACAACCAACAGCAAUGAGCUUUUCAUGAAUUUAAAAGAAAAAAUUGUGUUGGCCCCAGCCCUGAGGCUACCUGACCUGAUGAAACUCUUUACACUCUAUGUGUCAGAAAGAGAAAAAAUGAUAGUUGGAGUUUUAACCCAGACUGUAGGGCCCUGGCCAAGGCCAGUGGCCUAUCUCUCAAAACAACUGAUGGGGUUUCCAAAGGCUGGCCCCCAUGUGCAAGGGCCCUGGCAGCAAUGGCCCUGUUAGUACAAGAAGCAAAUAAGCUAACUCUUAGGCAAAACCUAAAGUCCUCGUAUGCUGUGGUGAUUUUAAUAAAUACCAAAGGACACCAUUAGCUAAUGAAUGCUAGACUAACUAGAUACCAAAGCUUGCUCUGUGAAAAUCCCCGCAUAACCAUUGAAGUUUGCAACACCCUAAACUCCGCCACCUUGCUCCCGGUAUCAGAGAGCCCAGUUAAACAUAACUGUGUAGAAGUAUUGGACUCAGUUUAUUCUCGUAGGCCCAACCACCGAGACCACCCUUAAACAUCAGUAGACUGGGAGCUGUACGUGGAUGGGAGCAGCUUUGCCAACCCUUGCAAAGUGACUCUGAAGAAGACGACAAGCCUUGUUCCGGUCACACCCGGAAGCUGACUGGUUCACGCAUGGCCGAAGCAUGAGGAAACUCAUCGCGGGAAUAAUUUUCCUUAAAAUUUGGACUUGUACAGUAAGGACUUCAACUGACCUUAUGCUAAGCUGCCUGAUCAGUGGACAGGUAGCUGUGUAAUUGGACAGGUAGCUGUGUAAUUGGCACCAUUAAGCCAUCUUUCUUCUUACUGCCAAUAAAAACAGGUGAACUUCUAGGCUUCCUAGUCUAUGCUUCCCGUGAAAAAUGAAGCAUAGCCAUAGGUGAUUAGAAAAUAAUGAAUGGCCCCCUGAAAGAAUCAUACAAUACUAUAGACCCACCACUUAGGCACAAGAUGGCUCAUGAGGAUAUCGAACCCCCAUCUACAUGCUCAACCGAAUCAUACAGUUACAAGCGGUUUUAGAAAUUAUUACUAAUAAAACCGGUCAAGCCUUGACUGUUCUUGCCCGGCAAGAGACUCUGAUGAGAAAUUUUAUCUAUCAAAAUAUACUAGCUCUUGACUACUUGCUAGCAGCUGAAGGAGAAGUUUGUAAAAAAUUUAACCUUACUAAUUGUUGUCUACACAUAAAUGAUUAAGGGCAAGUAGUUAAAAAUAUAGUUAAAGAUAUAACAAAACUGGCACAUGUACCCAUGCAAGUGUGGCAUGGGCUCAAUCCGGGAGCCAUGUUUGCAAAUUGGUUCCCAGCAAUGAAAAAAUUUAAAACUCUUAUAAUAAGAGUAAUAAUAGUAAUAGAAACCUGCUUACUGCUCCUUUGUCUGAUACCUGUAUUUCUCCAAAUGAUAAAAAACUUUGUCACGACCUUAGUUCACCAAAAUGCUUUAGCAGAAGCAUACUAUAUAAAUCACUAUCAAUCUAUUGCACAAAAAGACAUAAGUAGCAAAAAUAAGACUCAGAACUCCCACUAAUAAAAACUGAGAGUCUCAAAGGGGGGAAAUGAGGGAAGAGAGAGAGACCCUCUCAUAUUGUUUUAUAUUGUUUUAUACUCAGUACCUCUUUUAAGAAAAAGUGACAAGGAAGUAAAACCAAAGACAGGCAGCCUGGUGCCAGGCCUGAAACCAGGCCUGGGCCUGUCUGGCCUAAACCCAGUAGUUAAAAAUCAACUCAUAACUUAGAAACUGAUGUUAUUCAUAGAUUCCAGACAUUGUAUAGAAGAACAUUGUGAAACUCCCUGCCCUGUUCUGUUUCUCUCUGACCACUGGUGCAUGCAGCCCCUGUCAUGUACCGCCUGCUUGCUCAAAUCAAUCACGACCCUUUCAUGUGAAAUCUUUAGUGUUGUGAGCCCUUAAAAGGGACAGAAAUUGAGUAUUUGGGGAGCUUGGAUUUUAAGGCAGUAGCUUGCUGAUGCUCCCAGCUGAAUAAAGCCCUUCCUUCCACAACUCAGUGUCUGAGAGGUUUUGUCUGCAGCUCAUCCUGCUAUAAAACCAGCUCUGCUCAUGCUUCCAGCCCCAGCUCAAGAAUCUCCCUGCCUUGAAGCCUUCCCUGGCCCCUGGUACAGGUAGUGUUAAUGCAUGCUGUGACCUUUACCUCAGCCUGUUGUUUCCCACUGGAUAGUGAGCUGCUGGAGACUCAAGACCUGAGCCCAGGGGAAAUGAUGGGCAGGAUCCCUGUGGGUAGGGGCAGGCCAUGUGGGCCUGUUGCACCUUUAUGCGUGGUCGGGCCUCUCUGGUCAGCUCUGAGCAGUGCAGAGCUCUGCAAUGUCUUGGGUGUGCUGAAGGUCCACUGUGACACCUGCCCACCUGGCCCCAGCAAGCUGUCAUCCGGAAGGUCAGACUUGAGCAAGAGGAGGAAAGCAAGCCCAAUGCCUAGAGGAUAUAAGAAUUGAGGAGCAUGCAAAUUCUCUUCCAGCAAUGACAAUGCUAAGAUGUGUGGGAGGUUGUUUCCAAGUUGUUGAGCAUGGGUUGGGGAUUGCCCCUGGCUGAAGAAAAAAUGUGAAUUUUGGCUGGGUGCAGUGGCUCACGCCUGUAAUACCAGCACUUUGGGAGGCUGAGGUGGGUGGAUCAUGAGGUCAGGAAUUUGAGACCAGCCUGACCAACAUGGUGAAACCCCAUCUCCACUAAAAAUACAAAAAUUAGCCAGACAUGGUGGCGCGUGCCUGUAAUCCCAGCUACUCAGGAAGCUGAGGCAAGAGAAUUGUUUGAACU